GUUUUCUCAGACUACCAGAUCAUGAGACUGCUAUUAUAAAUUUCUGAUCAAGUCAGUAUGCAGAAGGCUAUUGUGACACUCUCUCUGAUCUCACACAGGAGGCAACAAAUAUAAGACUGAAGGAUCCUGUAUUCAUUGCCUCAGCAAAGGUGCAGAAGAUGUGAAGCAGAAAUAGCCCAGAAGACCCUUUAUGGACUAAAAGUUUAUGUCCUUCUAAAAUUCAUAUGUUGAAGCCUUCACCCCCAGCGCGGCUUGGAGAAGGGACGUCUAAGGAUGUAGUUAAGGUUAAAUGAAGUCAUAAGAGCGGAGCUCUGAUCCAAUAGGAUUAGCGUCCUUAUAAUAAGAGACACCAGAGUGUUUGCUAGCUCUCUCCCCACCUGCACACACUGAGCAAAGGCCAUGGAAGGACAGCAAGAAGGCUGCCAUCUGCAAGCCGGGAGAGUUCUCACCAGAAACCUACCCUGCAGGACCUUACCCUGGACUUCGAGCUUCCAGACUGUGAGGAGGGGCACGUAAGUGCAAGACUUUCACUAUGGUAGACACUUAGAAGUGGGAUGACUGGAUCAUACCGGGUGUGAAGGUUCAUCUUUACAAGAUAGUGCCAAAUGGCUUGCCACAGUGGUGUACCAAUUCACGCUCGCACUAAUA
rnacentral:lncRNA from 1 species